GCGAUUGUGGCGUAAUGGGUAGCCGCGACGGCUUGAGAGGCCGUUGGUGGAAACACCGUGGAAGUUCGAAUCUUCUCAGUCGCA
rnacentral:tRNA from 1 species